AGUCCACAAGACUAUCCUCCACAUCAACAAGACCGACUUGAACCACAGUCUGGACACGAACCACUUUAUGCACAAGUGAAAAAAGGACACAAACGACCUGAGGAUGAUAUUGUUAGCCCUAAUAAUAUAAUGUUAGAAAGUGGUGGAGGUGGUCCCCCAGGUGGAGCAGAUUCUUGGGUGUAGUGCUGAUUAAGGGGAGAUAACUGCUGUGUCAUUUGAGAAAAAAUGGAACUAUUUUUCUGUUAUUUCCAUAGACUUUAAUGGUAUAAAACGUUGAAAAUAGAUUCAAUAUUCAUGAUAAAGAGAAAUAACAGAUAGAGCCACAGAAUUGGGAUGCAUAUUUAGUGUAUUGCAAUAGCUCCUAAAUUAAAAAAAAUAUUUCACUGUUUUUCUAGAACAAAGUUAUGGACAUGAGUUUCUAGUUAUUUUAUUCGUUAAUAUUAAAUGUAUAAAAUAUAUAAAACAAAAAUUAAGGGAGCCCCAAACAGCUGAAGUUUUCAUAUCAGACAUGUACAGAGAUAGUGUUUUCUAUAUUAUGAUUUAUCAUGAAUUAAUCAUUCAGAAGAUUUUAUCAGAAUCAUUUUUUAAUUUAUGAAAUAUAUAUAUUAACUGCCAUGUUUUUUGUAAGAAAUUUGGUUUGUGAUAAUUUUUAUAUAAAUAUUAUAUCUCUACAGAAGGAAGGUUGUAUAUACAUAUAUCUAUAUUUUUGUCUGUGAGACAAGAUUUUUAAUAGAAACCAUAACUAUUUUACCUGACACUUUUUUUUUACAUUGUAAACAUUUUACUGGUAGAGGUUGUGACAAAAAGGCACAGUCUGACUGUGUUGCUAAUCUCUGUUAGAUUUUUUUUAAUAAUCAUAACAGAAAUUAACAUUUUCAUUAUAAUUUUAUGUUAAAAGGUCAACCUUGGUUACUGUGGGUUCAUUUAAUUUCGUGGGUGUCAAUUUUUCGUGUAUUGAGGAAAGCUUGCAUUUUCAUGGAUAUUUCAAUUCAUGGUUUUGCCAAUAUCUACAUGCAAAACCUAUAGAAAAUUUUCACCUCAUUGAACAUUUGAAUUCAUGGUUCAACUGUACCCACAAAAUGCAUGAAAAUUGGUAUGUAAUGAAUAAUAAUGAAUUCACAGUAACUCUAUUGAUAUAUGAAAAGAUUUUUGUGUUAUUUGAUAUUAGUUUAUUUAUAUUUAGUAAUCUAGAUCUUUUUGUGACCCAAUUUGCCUCAAAUCAAUUAUAUAGAUGUGUCGGAGAGGUAAGAAUGUUAAACUUGAAAUAUAUAUGAUCAAAAGCUAGUAGUGCUUACAGAUAGUAUAAAUAUGUAUUGUAAACUGUGCCACUGUAUUUAUAGUUUUGCCAUACAUGAGUGUUAUUAUUUUUCUUUAAACCAGUUAAAUUCUGACAUAAAAUGUUAUUUUAUCUUUAUAAGGUAGAAGUACCUUCUUUGGUAUAGUAUGGUAAAACUUUAAUGGUUUUAAACAUAGAAUGAAUUUUCUUAUUCCAUAUAGUAGAUGUAUUUAAAUUUUCUUCCAUGUUUUGAAAAAGGCCAUUAGGCUUGACUGACGAAAAAUUAUUUUAUUUUUGGUUGGUAUGCCUUCAAGAAUUGAUUCUUGAUGCUUGGAUUUAAGGUGGUACCUAACACUUUCACUAAAAUUAAUUUGGCUCGUUUAAUUUUGAUAAAAUUUUGACAAAGUAUUUACUUUGACCCUUUAACAAAAAUAUAAAAAUUUCAAAAAUUUUGAACCAACCGUUUUGUCACAAAAAUUACACUGGUUAUAUAGCAGUUUGACAAACACCAAUUUUGAUCUUUGAGAAGCUUAUUAUUCCCUUUACAACACAACAUGAUUAAAACGUUUAGCUGACUUUACAGAGUUAUCUCCCUUUAGUGUUAGGUACCACCUUAAAAGAAAAUCUUUCUUGAUCAGUUAUUUUAUUAUCCCCUCUGAAUGAGACAUAGAUUCAAACCUUCCUGCUAAAUGGAACUUCUUCUGUCUUCCAUUUGAACCAUUUUAGCACUUUAAGCUUACACAUAAUGAGAUAAGUAAACUUAGAUUUGUAUUUAUUUUAAACUUGCAUAUUUCAGCAAAGAUCUAUCUAAGUUGCAUUACUAAAUUAAACUAUUUGGUCAACUCUUUUACAGUUCAAAGAUAUAAAUACAUGCAUUAAAUUUGUGUAUAAUAGCAUCUAGUUUUAAUAAGAUUUCAUUAUCAAAUUGGGCCUGUCAGAGUUGAAUGUUAUUGUUGUGGAUAUCAUAUUAUAUAAUUUAUCACCUGCAGUCUCACAAUCAUGAGUGUAUAUUCAAAAGUAAUAAAUGUCCAGCUAACUUUAGGCACCCACUAGACAAUGGAGAAAUCAUCUGUAAUUAUGUUACAAUAGUGUACAGAUCACUACUAAAAGGUUUUGUUGAUAAUCAUUUUCAUUGGGAAUUUUGUAAAUUUAUAAAUAUCAUUUAUCCUGUAUGUAGUAAAUGAAGUUUCGUUUUUUGAGGCAUUUAUAUAUUUUUCUAUCCAUCAGAUCCACUUAAAAGGCAAAGAAAAGUAGGAAAUACCAAAUAUAUCACGAUAAAUGUCUCAUUAUUUUGUAUAACAUUAUAAAUCAUGAAGAGACCAUUUUGUGUUUUAUACUAAGACAACUUAGACAACUUUUAAAGCAUAAUUAUCAUGAACAGCUCAUUGUAAAUAUUGUAUUUUUUUCUAAAAUCACAUUCUUGAGGACAAAGAUGUAGAAAUAUAAGAAAUAAGAUUGAUCUUUGAGUGGUAUAUUUAAAUUAUAGAAACAGUUUUAAUGAAAUAUUUUACUUAAUCAAUAUGUAAAACUUAUUUAUUUUGAGGGAUUAAAAAUGAAAAUAGCUACUUUAUACCAAAGUUUAUUUGGAAAAUUGUGAGAUAAUAAGCAGUUUGUUGUGUACUGACUUUUUUUAGUGGUAUUCAAAUUCAAAUGGUUGUCUGACUUCUAUUUACUUUAUAGAAAAAUGAUAAUGAUGUCCGAUCUAAAAAAUGAUUGUAGUUUAUUUAGGAAUCGGGACAUUGUUUUUCUCCCUGACCAUAAUUGUUCUAUCCACAUGCAUAUAAUUAAAAGUUGACUAAAUUCAUAUUUUCCAGACACAUAUUAUUUUUGCAUUGUAUAAAUAUCACAUAUGAGUAUGGCUUCUGUCAUUUGUAGAAUUACAUGCAUAUGAAAUAAAACUAAAAUGAAAUGAA
rnacentral:lncRNA from 1 species